rnacentral:rRNA from 1 species
CACGUAGGGGGCGAGCGUUGUCCGGAAUUACUGGGCGUAAAGAGCUCGUAGGUGGUUUGUCGCGUUGUCCGUGAAAACUCACAACUCAAUUGUGGGCGUGCGGGCGAUACGGGCAGACUGGAGUACUGCAGGGGAGACUGGAAUUCCUGGUGUAGCGGUGGAAUGCGCAGAUAUCUGGAGGAAUACCGGUGGCGAAGGCGGCAUCCUGGACCGGCAUUGACGCUGAGGAGCGAAAGCUAGGGGAGCAAACGGG